rnacentral:RNase_P_RNA from 1 species
CGAGCCCGGGAGGCGACCGCGGUUCCGUCCUUCGGGGCGGGUCGAGGAAAGUCCGGACUCCACAGGGCAGGAUGCUGGGUAACACCCAGGCGGGGCGACCCGAUGGAAAGUGCAACAGAGAGCAGACCGCCGAUGGGCCUCACGGCCACAGGCAAGGGUGAAACGGUGGUGUAAGAGACCACCAGCGCCUCGGGCGACCGGGGCGGCUCGGCAAACCCCAUCCGGAGCAAGGCCAAGCAGGGACAGGGUGGCCCGCCCGUCACGUCCCAGGUGGGCCGCAAGGAGCCCGGCAGCAAUGCCGUGGCCAAGACAGAUGGUCGCCCACGACAGAAUCCGGCUUACACCCGGGCUCGUCAC